UACGGGAGGCAGCAGUGGGGAAUAUUGCACAAUGGGCGCAAGCCUGAUGUAGCCAUGCCGCGUGUAUGAAGAAGGCCUUCGGGUUGUAAAGUACUUUCAGUCGUGAGGAAGGUGUUAAGGUUAAUAACCUUAGCAAUUGACGUUAGCGACAGAAGAAGCACCGGCUAACUCCGUGCCAGCAGCCGCGGUAAUACGGAGGGUGCGAGCGUUAAUCGGAAUUACUGGGCGUAAAGGGCACGCAGGCGGUUAAUUAAGUUGGAUGUGAAAUCCCCGGGCUUAACCUGGGAAUGGCAUUCAAGACUGGUUAGCUAGAGUCUUGUAGAGGGGGGUAGAAUUCCAUGUGUAGCGGUGAAAUGCGUAGAGAUGUGGAGGAAUACCGGUGGCGAAGGCGGCCCCUGGACAAAGACUGACGCUCAUGUGCGAAAGCGUGGGGAGCAAACAGGGAUUAGAUACC
rnacentral:rRNA from 1 species